AUUGAACGCUAGCGGGAUGCCUUACACAUGCAAGUCGAACGGAGUGGCGAACGGGUGAGUAAUGUAUCGGAACGUGCCCAGUAGCGGGGGAUAACUACGCGAAAGCGUAGCUAAUACCGCCUACUAUUGGAGCGGCCGAUAUCGGAUUAGCUAGUUGGUGGGGGAACGGCUAACCAAGGCGACGAUCCGUAGCUGGUUUGAGAGGACGACCAGCAACACUGGUACGGGGCGACGGCCCCGACUCCUACGGGCGCCAGCAGUGGGGAAUUUUGGGCAAUGGUGGAAACCCUGAUCCAGCCAUCCCGCGUGUGCGAUGAAGGCCUUCGGGUUGUAAAGCACUUUUGGCAGGAAAGCGGUACCUGCAGAAUAAGCACCGGCUAACUACGUGCCAGCAGCCGCGGUAAUUC
rnacentral:rRNA from 1 species